AAAAGCAAUGAGGGAAAGUAUGAGGGAAAAAGAAAAAAAAAAAAGAACUACAACUAAAUUUUGGAAUGGAAUAUUAACAGUUUUAAAAUACACUGUGUAUUUUUGCACAAGCAAAUGGAAAGAAAGCAUCUGGGAAUCCGACCUAUGUCUAAGUGCUGCCAUACUGGCCUGACCCUUCACUACUGAGCUCCUUUGAACAAGUUAAUCUUUCUGAACAUCAAAGGUGUCGCUGAGAGUCUCAAUCAGACUGAAAGGCCCUGCCCUGCCAUGGAAGCUACUCCGAACUCAACAGAAACAUGAACUACACUUGUCAUUACAGCAACUGAUUUGUUCAGCUGCUUGGCUCCAAUCUUGGCCUCACACGCUUCCUCUGGGAUGAAAAAAGUCAGUGAAGGAUUAUGUUCUACAUUCUUGCACCAUAUCUUGCUUUUGUCAAUCAUCAACACUUUAUGGAGAGCUCUUCAUGUGAUCAGAAUGGACCAGGAUCUCUCUGUGCUAGACCUUGUUCAUACGCCUCCCCAGGGAUGCUCAGCCAGGUGUAUCUGCUUGCAUUAGAAAUGCUCCUACAGGAAGGUCUCCUGGCACCAGGCACAUUCUUAAGGCCACAAAGGGAGGGUUUCCACCUUUACAAGGAGGAGUCAUGUUUGGUGGUCUGCUGUUUGCCUGCUACCUGAGCCUUGCCAGACCUGCUCCUGUUCCUUCAGAGCUCACAGGCUCCAGGAGAUCUUCAUUGUGCUGCACUGUGAUUCUGCUCCCCAGCUAAUAGCUCAGCUCAUGGGAAUGAUGACGCUAGCUCUCUCUGUUGGGACUGCAAAAUAGCCCAAGGUGCUGUCUACACUCAAUUAUCUGUAUGUCCCAGCAGCUGUAAGGCUCAGGAGAAGCAAGUACGUAGCUCAGUCAUGGGAAUGUGGAAGAAAGGAAGCCUGUUUGCAUCCCCAUGUUUCCAGAAUCUCCUCUGCAUUCACAGUCUUGCCAGAAAUUUGUAGACCAUGAUUUAGUUAAGCUAGCCUUGGUCCAUUACUAAACUUUGUCUGCCUUGACCAUUCUCUCUUUAAAUUGGGAAAUGGUUGAUUUACCUCUUCAUUAUUGAAGAUUUUCCAAAUCAUCUGCUCCAAGAUGAUUUCUUUUCCCUACCUGAAAUAAGAAUC